rnacentral:rRNA from 1 species
AUUGAACGCUGGCGGCAGGCCUAACACAUGCAAGUCGAACGAGUGGCGGACGGGUGAGUAAUGUCUGGGAAACUGCCUGCUGGAGGGGGAUAACUACUGGAAACGGUAGCUAAUACCGCAUCCCAUCAGAUGUGCCCAGAUUGGAUUAGCUGGUUGGUGGGGUAACGGCUCAACAAGGCGACGAUCCCUAGCUGGUCUGAGAGGAUGACCAUCAACACUGGAACUGGGAACAGGUCCAUACGCCUACGGGAGGCAGCAGUGGGGAAUAUUGCACAAUGAGCGCAAGCCUGAUGCAGCCAUGCCGGGUGUAUGAAGAAGGCCUUCGGGUUGUAAAGUACUAUCAGCGGGGAGGCGUUACCCGCAGAAGAAGCACCGGCUAACUCCGUGCCAGCCGCCGCGGUAAUUC